CCUACGGGAGGCAGCAGUGGGGAAUAUUGCACAAUGGGGGAAACCCUGAUGCAGCGACGCCGCGUGAGUGAAGAAGUAAUUCGUUACGUAAAGCUCUAUCAGCAGCGAAGAAAAUGACUGUACCUGAGUAAGAAGCGCCUGCUAACUACGUGCCAGCAGCCGCGGUAAUACGUAGGGGCCAAGCGUUCUCCGGAUUUACUGGGGGUAAAGGGAGCGUAGACGGUGAGCCAAGUCUGGAGUGAAAUGCCGGAGCUUAACUGCGGAACUGCAUUGGAAACUGGCGAACUAGAGUGCGGGAGGGGUAAGCGGAAUGCCUCGUGUAGCGGUGAAAUGCGUAGAGAUUAGGAGGAACACCGGUGGCGAAGGCGGCUCACUGGA
rnacentral:rRNA from 1 species